CCUACGGGUGGCAGCAGUGAGGAAUAUUGGUCAAUGGACGCAAGUCUGAACCAGCCAUGCCGCGUGCAGGAAGACGGCUCUAUGAGUUGUAAACUGCUUUUGUACGAGGGUAAACGCAGAUACGUGUAUCUGUCUGAAAGUAUCGUACGAAUAAGGAUCGGCUAACUCCGUGCCAGCAGCCGCGGUAAUACGGAGGAUUCAAGCGUUAUCCGGAUUUAUUGGGUUUAAAGGGUGCGUAGGCGGUCGGAUAAGUUAGAGGUGAAAUCCCGAGGCUCAACUUCGGAAUUGCCUCUGAUACUGUGCGGCUAGAGGGUAGUAGCGGUAGGCGGAAUGUAUGGUGUAGCGGUGAAAUGCUUAGAGAUCAUACAGAACACCGAUUGCGAAGGCAGCUUACCAAGCUACUACUGACGUUGAGGCACGAAAGCGUGGGGAGCAAACAGGAUUAGAUACCCCUGUAGUC
rnacentral:rRNA from 1 species